ensembl:lncRNA
GUUAGGAAGGUCAGAAAACAAUUUAAUUAAUAGAUGAGGGGAGAGGAGGAGAAAAAAGAACUACAACCAGACAAAGCUCCUAGAAGACUGAAAUGGAUGAUGGUUGCAGCAUGCAAAAAGAAAAUGAUAUCUGUUGACUACAGCAUAUGCUUUCUCACAGAUUACCUUGUGGGAGUAGCUGGACCAAACUCUAUUGGUAUUUCAAGUUUGAAAUCCCUGUUUGACCAGACUAACAUUUCAGAUGAGGUAAUAGAUGGCCUAAUCUAUUUGCAGUGUGAGAAUUUCCCUCACAUUUAUCCAAUACCAAGCCAAAUCACUGGAAAAAUUUUGGAUGGGUCCACAAGAGCACAAAGUGCAUUCUUUUUGAAGAAAAACAUCUUUCAGAUGUAUGAGAAAUUGAUUGGAGCCUGUCUGGAAAACGGCAGCCACUGGACCUUGUUUUUUUGUGACAUACCCAAGAGGACCAUAGUCUAUAUGAAUUCAUUUGGCGAGUCGGAGGUCAGAAAAAGUGCGGUGUUGAAAAACUGGAGCUCAUUUGCUUCAGCAAGAGGCUGCGCUGGAGAGUGGACCUUGUCACAUGUGAGCCACCCACAUCAACAGGAUGGGAACUCAUGUGGAGUGCAUGUCAUAAUGUUUGCCCAAUCUCUCAUUGACGGUAAAACACAAGUGGAGGAGUACAACACUGAAAUCACAAAGCUCAGGUCCCGACUUUGCCACUACUUAUUUUCCUCAAUAGAUCGAACUAGGAAGUGCAGUCAGUGCUGGUGUGUGAUUGCAGCCAAAGACCGGGUGCAGUGCCAGAAAUGUGGUGCAUACAAGCACAUGCGUUGUUCAAAGUCUGUUUGUGGCAUCUGUAUCUUCUGUGAGAGUAAGUCACAAUAUAACUAAACAACGUCCAAAAAUGUUUAAAGUGAAUUUUUUUUUCGUAAAUCCGGGUUACUCGUAUCAAUGAAGUGACAAUGUGGCUGGAAAUUGUGCAUUUGCUGCAACAUAUACACAAUUACACCAUGUAAACAAAAGCAUUUAACUUUGUGCGCGUGUGUGUGUCUCUCUCUGCUCUUUUGGUGUUUGCACUUUUUCUUUUUUAGGGCCGUAAAGCCAAACUGCCCGCAAUGAUUCUUGACAGGCCUAAGAAGGCCAAAACUAAAGUAACAGUGUUUAGUGUUCUGAGUGAAGAGGAGGCUGGGGAGCUAGCCCUCGGGUUUGCCGGAAGAUUGGCCUGCGAUGUCACAACAGACAUGGUCUGUAAAGGCAUCGACCAUUCAAGUGCUGAUAUGACAAAACAGACUCUUCUCAAAAUCCAACACAAUCUUAAACAUGAGCUGACUGAUUCCUCAACCUUCAGUUUGCUGACACACACCUUUGGCCCCGCUGCACUGGAUUCUGUCAUUUCAUUCCUGUGUGAAAAACUUGAUCUUGUUUCUUAAAUAAUGAAACCUUUUGUGACUUUUGUUUGUUCUGUAAAUCAGAAUCUUGAAAAUUGUUCAUUGUUGUUCUAAGUUUGUGUUAACUAUUUGGCAAAAAUGAUUGGUUCCUAAUCCAAACAGCAUAAUGACUGUUCUAACACAUAUCUUAAAAAUGCUACAAAGAAAGAAAAUUAUCACAUAUGUUUCAAUAUGAAUGUAAUUGUGUCACACUCGGUUUGUAGUAGCUUUCCUGUUUUAUUUUGAGUUUUGGUAUGUUUACACUGUUAUUUUUAUUUCCCGUGUGUUCGUCUUCCCUUAUUAGUUUUACUGUAUUUAAUUAGUCUGAUUUAAUAACUUAUAAUUAUUUACUUUCCAGUGUGUGUAUAUGCUCCUCGUUUGGAUUAUUGUUUGUUUGAGUUCUGCCUGUCUUUUCUAUUAAAGAUUUGGACUUUUGGACUAUUAGUGGACCUCGUAGGUUUUUAUUCUGUUCAAUUGGUAAUUGACUGGGUUUAAUUUAGUGGCCUGGAAAACAGGCCGGAGGGGUCUGGUCAUUUUAAC